rnacentral:rRNA from 1 species
GACGAACGCUGGCGGCGUGCUUAACACAUGCAAGUCGAACGGAAAGGCCCUGCUUUUGUGGGGUGCUCGAGUGGCGAACGGGUGAGUAACACGUGAGUAACCUGCCCUUGACUUUGGGAUAACUUCAGGAAACUGGGUCUAAUACCGGAUAGGAGCUCCUGCUGCAUGGUGGGGGUUGGAAAGUUUCGGCGGUUGGGGGUGGACUCGCGGCUUAUCAGCUUGUUGGUGGGGUAGUGGCUUACCAAGGCUUUGACGCGUAGCCGGCCUGCGAGGGUGACCGGACACAUUGGGACUGAGCUACGGCCCAGACUCAUACGGGAGGCAGCAGUGCGGAAUAUUGCACAAUGGGCGGAAGCCUGAUGUAGCAACGCCGCGUGCGGGAUGACGGCCUUACGGUUGUAAACCGAUUUCGCCUGUGACGAAGCGUGAAUGACGGUAAUGGGUAAAGAAGCACCGGCUAACUACGUG